AUGAAUUUGUUCCAAUAUACAGAAGCCUGAACAAAAUUUGACAUCAGCAACAAAAGUUUGUUCACCAGUUUCGAAGCCCUGCUCAUCAGAAAGCCCGUAAAGUCUGAGAAAAUCGAUCCAAACAAGCCUUAAUUCUGUCAUUAGGUGAGAGGGAGCCGUGGGCUGAUUGGCUGCCCGUCUGCUCCAUAUUCAGAGGUGCUGGAUGAGGCAGAGGGCCUGCUGGGUAAAAUGCUGCUGUAAUCAGGAGCCGGCUGUGCUGCCUGAUCAGGAUACCUCCAUACUUGAAAGAACAUAUCCAGAAAAAGAAAAGAGUCAUCUAGUGACAGUUCACAUCCAAUCUGACAGAGCUGAAGCAUCUACAGAGAAGAAUGGCAGAAAAACAAAAUGCAGAUGUGCAAAGAUUACCACAUCAAAUCCAGCAGACCUGAGACUGCUAAAGCCAGAGAAAUGUGUGACCUGCAGUGAUUUGAACAGGUGUUGGCGAUGCCACUUCUCUUCUGUGCUGCAUCUCUCCUUUAAAUCCAUUAAGAUCAUCAAAACAUGACAGGGGGAUCAUCAGUCUGUCUGCAGGACGAGCUGCGUCCUGCCCAGCAAACCAGCUCACACUCACACACUCUCUAAACAGGCUUGGAGCGACUGAAGCUGCUGUCCGGUUUGAAGAUGCUCAUUAGGACACAACAGGAAGCAGUUGGUCAGUUAGUAGAGCACAUGCAGGUUACCAGCAACAGGUGGACAGCAGCACACAGGCACAUAUGAAGGGAAGGCAGGCAGGCAGACAGACAGACAGACAGACGUACCAGGCGGGCAGGCAGACAGCGGGCAGACAGCAGGGGUAGGUGCCUGAGAGUCCGCACUGUGGCAGAGUAACAGAUGUGUGGUGAAUCUUUAACUUCGCUCACUCCCCACUGUCACUGCAUCUGUGCGCAGCCCCUCUGCCUCAGCCAAACCCCCUCCUGUGUGAAAGAACGCAACAAUAAAAAGCUAUCAGUGCACUUAUUGAUUAGCCUGCGGUGUCAGGGAUGCUGAUAUUUAAUGAUCUGCAGGUCACACCGUCUUUCUGCAGGUUACGGUGGUGCUCUUUCUGUUAAACGUUUAAUUAAAAAUCAAUGAUGAAUGC
rnacentral:lncRNA from 1 species